UGAACCUGCUCCUGUCACAUCCCUCGGC
rnacentral:piRNA from 1 species